GCCCCGCGGCCGGGAGCGGGGCGGGCCCGGCAGAAAAGUGCCACGACUCCACACGGCCGCGGCGGCGGGCAGGGACCGCGACACGGCGCCGGCGCAGAAGAAUAAGGCAGGAUGGAUGUGUAUGAUCCUCAGACGCUGGGUGUUGUGGUCUUUGGAGGCUUUAUGGUGAUAUCAGCCAUUGGGAUCUUUCUGGUGUCCACCUUCUCCAUGAAGGAGACGUCUUAUGAGGAAGCCUUGGCAAAGCAACGUAAAGAGCUUGAGAAGACCAACCAGCACAAAAUAGAGAAAAAGAAGAAAGAGAAACCUGUUGAGAAAAAAGGAAAAGCAAAGAAAAAGGAAGAAAAACCUAAUGGAAAGAUACCGGAGCAGCAGCUGCCUCAGGAAGUGACAGACUCUUCCAAGGAUGUGGUUCUUGAGCCUGCCGUGGUGCCUGAGCCCGUAACUCCCGUUGAGCCUCCGAUCGCAGUGGUGUCAGUGCCCCCCCAGGAAAAGGAGAAACCUGCUCCGUCUCCUAAGGAGAAGAGGAAGAAGGAGAAGAAGGUGGCAAAGGUAGAGCCUGCUCCUAGCCCAGCGCUGGCUUCCCCUCCUGUCAGCGUUCCCAAAGGUUCUCCUGUCUUGGAGGUGACCCCUAAGGAGGUGCCUGUCGUGGCCGUGCCACCAGUGGGCACGCAGCAAAGUGCCCCAGUUGUCAGCUCUGUCCCCGUCAAAAAAAACGAGGCUCUUCCAGCCCACGAGGAGCAAAAGCAUGAUGGACCUGUCAAGAAGAAGGCCGCAUCCAAGAAGAAGUCUGAGCCAGCACCUGCGGACUCGGAUGGGCCCCUCUACCUGCCCUACAAGACGCUUGUGUCCAGCAUCAGCAGCAUGGUGUUCAGCGAGGGAGAGGCCCAGCAGCUCAUCGAGAUCCUGUCAGAGAAAGCGGGCAUCGUCCAGGACACCUGGCACACGGCAACGCAGAAGGGGGACCCGGUCACCGCCCUGAAACGCCAGCUGGAAGAGAAGGAGAAGCAGCUCGCUGCUGAGCAGGAGGACGUGUCUGCUGCCAGAAACAAGCUGCGGGAGCUGAGCAAGGAACUUGCAGCUGAGAAGGCCAAGGCGGUGGCCAGCGAGAGCAAGCUGAAGGAGCAGCUGGUUGCUCGUGAGCGGGAGAUCACCGCAGUUCAGGCACGGAUGCAGGCGAGCUACCAGGACCACGUCAACGAAACGCAGCAGCUCCAGGGAAAGAUUCGGACCCUGCAGGAGCAGCUGGAGAACGGCCCCAACACGCAGCUCGCCCGCCUGCAGCAGGAGAACUCCAUCCUGAGGGACGCGCUCAACCAGGCCACCAGCCAGACGGAGAGCAAGCAAAACGCUGAGCUGGCCAAGCUGCGGCAAGAAUGCAACAAGCUGAUGAAAGAGCUGUCUGAAAAAUCCGAGGUGCUGCAGCAAGAGGAGCAGCAGAAAAAGAGCUGGGAGAUCAAAGCGGUGGCCUCCGAGAAGCAGCUCGAGCAGUUGCAGGCUUCCCAAAGAGAGGUGGAGGCGACGCUGCAGAAGAGGUUGGAGGAAGUAAGUGACGAGCUCCGCAAAACCCAGGCCAGCUACAAGAGCCUCUUAGCAGAUGCAGAGAAGUCCAAAGGGCAGCAGCAGAGCAUCGCUGAACUGCAGGCCAAGCUGCUGAGCUCCGAAGCAGAGCUUAAAAGCAAACUGUCGGAGCUCGACAGCGUGAAGGGGAAACUGCAGGAUGCCGGCUCGGAGAACACCAAGCUCCUGGAGAGGAUCAAAUCCAUCGAAGCUCUGCUGGAAGCAGGCCAGAUGAGGGAGGCAGAAAAAGACAGAGACCUGCAGGCAGCCAACGAAGCAGAAAUGAAGCAGAUGCAAUUAAGGCUGCAGGAGAAAACAGACCAGCUCUCGUCUUUGGAAAGGGAAGCAGCGGAGCUGCGAGAGGCAAUGGAGCAACAGAAGACAAAAAACAACGACCUUCGUGAGAAGAACUGGAAAGCAAUGGAGGCGUUGGCCACGGUGGAGAAGGCAUGUGAGGAGAAGCUACUUGCUGCUACAAAAGCAAAGGAGGAGUUGGCCCAACAGCUUGACACCUUCCAGACACAAACCAAACAGACGCUGCUCUCUGCCCUCCCAGAAGUCACCGUGUCCCCGCAGCAGGAUUAUGAUACGUGGCUACAAGAAUUUAAGGAGAAGACAGUGAAUGUGCUAAAGCAACACAUCAGUACAACAGAGCCCGUGGAUUCAGCACUUAAAUUAAAAGAGGCAGAGGAAGCGCAGAGCACUUUACAAGCAGAAUGUGAGCAGUACAGAGCUAUCCUCGCAGAGACGGAGGGGAUGCUGCGAGACCUACAGAAGAGCGUGGAGGAGGAGGAGCAGGUCUGGAAAGCAAAGCUCACAGUCUCUGAAGAGGAACUCCAAAAGUCACAACUCCAGUUGAAAUCCCUUGAAGACAUGGUAGAGAAGUUGAAGGCAGAGCUGCAGAGCACGGAUCAGCUAAAGGAAUACAUCUCUCUUCUGGAAGCACAACUGGAAAAUCACUUGCAGACAGCCAGCUCCGAGCGCCAAAACUACACAAAAGAAGUUGAAGACUUGAGGCAGCUCUUAUCAGAGUCCCAAGAGCAGCUGGAGGCGGCGAAGACAGAAACGCAGAAGCAGAGCAAAGAGCUGGCCCUGGUCAGGCAGCAGUUGGGUGAGAUGAAGAGCCACGUGCAGGACGGAGAAGUCGUGGGGUCACGAGCUGAGCUGAGCGAUCCCAUGCCCUUCGAGUUGAAAACUCAGCUGGAGCAAAACGAAGCGCUGGUGGAGAAGGAGCAAGCGCUGAGGCAGAAGCUGGUGCUGGAGCUGGAGGAGGCACAGAGCUCAGCACGCAGCUUGCAGGCGGAGCUGGAGAAGCUGAGACUGGCUGAAAACGCAGCGGCUUCAGGCACGGAGGAGGCCCAGCAUCUCAAGGAAAGACUUGAAAAAGAAAAAAAACUAACAAAGGACUUGGGCCAAGCAGCAACCAAACUACAGGAGCUACUGAAGGUUACCCAGGACCAACUGGCCAAAGAGAGAGAAACGGUGAAGAAGUUGAAAGAACAGCUUCAUGAAACGGGGGAAGAGGACAGUUCAAAGGAAGGGACUUCGGUUUGAUGAGUCUGUGACUUAGAACUUACCCUUCAACUUACCAAAAUGCCUUACACAUUCCUAAAAAUAAAAGUAUAUGCUGAAUUUACUGUAGAUAAAAUACAAGCCAUUAGUGACCCAAAACCUAGUUUUGAAACUUUAAAAAAAAAAAAAAAAAAGGAAAAAAAAAAAAGAAACCAACAACCAGUAAACACUGCAGGUGUACGUUUGUAAGAAAACCUUCAUGCUGUUUUGUACAACCAUUCGUUCCCGUGGGUGCUGCUCUCGACACGUUGGGGCAGAUGCCGGGGCUCGACCCUCCUGUAGCGGCAGAACCCACGAAUGUGUGAAAAGGGAAGACUGUGUUUGUACAUCAACCGGUGCAAUUAUUAUUUUAUAUAUAUAUAUAUAUAUAUAUAUAUAUAUAUAUAUAUAUUAUUUUUUGAGUGAAAGAAGUGUGAAAGUAAGGCCCACCAGUGGAAGGAAGCCUCUCUUUGACGGGUGGCUCUCGUUUUCAAAGUCGCUGUGCCAGGUACGUCUUUGGGAUGACUGAAGCGUGACCCUGCUCUGGUCAGAAGUGGAUGCUUUGUUCUCUUGCUGUGCUGCAGCAGCUGUCUCCUGAUUUUCUUCCAGUACAGGUGAAGGAGGCGCAGAGCUUCAGCGGUGGUGCUCCAGGUGUGAUUAAGUGGCUGGGGUCACGCAGCCUUGAGGGGUGCACUGGUGUGGCUCACGCUGAGCACGGGGACAGACAAGGAGCCUCUCCAUAGCAGCUGCUGGAGACAGCAGUGCCAGCAACUCCAGCCUGCCUGGGACUGUCCUGUUUUGCUUAAUCCUUGGGGUUUCCCCUGUCCCUUUGGCCCUGUAAUGUGGUGGUCCCUGCUUGCUGCAGGGAUCUCCAGCUGUCUGUUCUUGCCUUUGGGGGGGCUGCUUUAUUUAUUUAUUUAUUUUUUAAAAAAAAAAGCUGGUUUCUUAGGAGAGGGCACGUGAUCACUUGGUGCUUGGUUCCCCAUAGUAAAGCUACUGAGCCUAAUGCUGACAUCAGCUGUGUUUGAGAGAAGGGGAAGAGGGCUCCGAAGGGCCUGGUUCCUCCAGCAUUUGAGAAAAGGCAAAACCAGAACGGGGUAGCGAGCAAGGGAAGACGUGCCUCCAGUUUGGUUCUGGGAAGGGCAGUGUGCUCAGCCUCUCCUAGGCACCAGAGGCUUCAGGCAGCUGAUGCUGGCAGCUGUCCCAGGAAAAGCUCUGGGUUUGAGGCCCCAGAGCUGCAGGGCCUGGGUAGGAGGCUGCAGGGAGGGAGGGGGUGCCCCAUCCACCUCCCCACCAUGGUGCAACGCUCGCUGCAGCCCCGGCUGCCUCUUCCUGCAGGAAAACCACAAAGCUGCCUUCCCCCGAGGGUGGCGGCUCAGGACCAGAGCCGCUGCUGGCCCUGCUCCUCCUGCCACACGGGCUGGGGGCUGAGCGCUCCCCCCCCCCCCCCAGCGCUGUGGCUUUGGAGGUGGGUUUUUAUUGAGGUGGUGCGGUGGCUGGGCAAGCUCGAUGCUUCUGUACUCACUGUGGGGAAUUGCUGAGCGGCCCAAAACUGAGCUUUGGGUGUGGACGGGGUGAUAGGGCUCACGCACCUGGCUGGAGGGGAGCUAAUGGCUGUGUCCUGCUGCCGGGUGGUGGCCUCAGCCCCUUGUGUGGCUGCCACCCGCCAAAAAAAAAAAUCUAAACCAAAAAAACACAACACAAAAACAAACCCACCCUAACAAGAAAACCCUAGGCUGGAACGAGCUGCUGAGAGGCUGGGGGCGGCCAUCACGCCAGAGAGCAGUUGGUGGGAUGCGCCCCAAAGCAGCGAGUGUAAUAUGAUGAAACCCUUUGGUUUUCUCAGUUUGUUGCUUUUGCAACAGCCGUUUCCUUUAUUGUGCUUGCUUGUGCAAAACAGACCACGCUCAACAAGUGUGCCUAUGAGAGCGGUAGCAGCACCUCCCCCCAACACAGCCAAAACGAGAGGGCAUGGGAUACAGUUACGUAGGCUCUGCAGGGCUGGGUGGGCUCCACAAACCACGUGAAAGCAGAUUCGGGCUCCUCAGCAUGGGGGACACGUUGCCCUUCAGGCCAGCACCAGGCUGGCUAUUUUUGGGUAGCAGAGAGGGGCUGGUCGUGUUAAGUAAAGCUGACGAUGGAAAGGGGUCUCUGGGGGCCAGAUGUUUAGCUCCGUUUCAGCUCCUGGAGUGGCACCGUGGGGAUUUCCUGUCGCAGGGCGUCGAUUUUCUGAUGGCAGGGGAAGGACAGCAGCCUCCAGAGAGGCCAGGCCCUUCACCCCUCAGGUACCUGGUGAGCAAGGUGUGCCUCAGGGCAGGUAUGAAGGGGGCCUGGAUGCCGGGGUGCUGCAGCCAGGCACUUCAUUUAAAGAUCAGCGGCCUUGGCUCGGUGCCCCAGGACUGCCUGGGGACGCUGCUUCCCCUUUUGGUGCAGGAGGGCGCCUGUGUCGAGCCAGCAGCUUCCACCGUUUCUCCUGGAAGGACUCUGCACCCUGCAGGCGCCGGUUAUCAGUUGUCUCCUGGAUGGGAGUUCGCUUUGUCAGGCACCACUCCCACCGUGUCACUCCCGUUUUCUUAUCUGAGCCCGGACUUUGGACAGACAGCAGCGCUGCAGACACUGAGGUAAGGACAAACACUUUAUGGGGAUGAUUACCCACCUGGGCGAGGUUUGAGGCCAACUAAGGCACGGACUGGGAGCACCCACAGGUACCAGCCCAGCUUCCUCACACUCAUAAAGCUUCGCUGCAGCAGAUCAUGUCAGAAGCCCUGGUGCUCCCACCCCUGCAGCCCCCUGGGUGCCAAGUUAGAGCGCACAGACAUCACUUGCCUUUAACGUAAAGCUCCAACACAGCACAGCCAGAAAGGGCACACGCAGCAUUAGGUAAAGGACCACUGCUUCCCGCCCUGCCAGGGAGCUGGGAGGACAAGGAAGCUCCCUGCCCCUGCGUCCCCAAAGGCUCACAGAGGAAGGGGCAGCCCCUAACUCCGUGGGGCUGGCCGGACUGACUCACGCUGGGUUUCUCCUUGUUAGGCUGCAAAGGCGAGAAGCUUUUCCCACAAAGCUCCCCUCCCCCUGGAGAUCUGGGUGCAGAGCCUAAAACCAGAGCCUAGAAGGAAGGGAGCAAAUGGCACGGGGGAAGCCAGCGGUGCAGCAGGCUGGCAGUCACUCAGCUGGUACACGUGUGCGAGGCCGAGGAGGGCAUUAACACUGCAAAGAAACGAACGCGCUUUCUCCCCAACCCCUCCUUCCCCCCCCCGUGUCUCACCCGUGAGCAGCGGCGCGGAGCUGCAGAGGUGUGCCAGCUUCCUGAGCGCCCGGUUUAAGCCCCACCGCAGGAGGGCUCAGCUGGAGGCUGCAGAGGAAUCAGUCACCGACCCAGGGGAAGGAAACCCCAUUUAUUCAGGCUGUUAGAGUUUGGCACGCACAGAACAUAUCACAGUAACGCACUGGAGGCUAAGGGUUUGGUUUUUUUUUUUCUUUUUCUUUUUUUUUUCUCUACAGACAUACAGGAAAACUCUAUGCAACUCCCAUGUACACAUUACACAAAGGAAACAGCUUUAAUCAACCACUGGUGAAACAUGGAAGCUUUUAAGAUCUCUGUAGCUGGCACAGGAAUGUUCUCUACCCCCUCCCCCCCCCCCCCCCCCAUACAAAAGGCAUUUCAGGUCAAACUUUCUAGUAGGUGAUAUUUCCAUGCAUUUCUACAGAA